AAUAUUUCAAAACAUGUCAAACAUGAGAUUUAAGGACAAGCUAGACCCUUGGGAAUUUUCUCAAACUUUAAUUCAAGCCUAUGAAAGUCCAAAUUAAUUUCCAUUUUAGUUCAACCUUUUCCAAACAAAAGUAAGUUUUAAACAUUUUUUCAAUACUCCAAAUAUUUGAAAAUUUUACUGUGCUUAGGGUAUGACAUUUCACAUACUCCCGUAAAUUUUCCGAAUAGUUUAACUCAAACCGGCGUUUUAAAAUGGUAAAGAAAGCACAUUUUGUGUUUUCCAGCCUGAAAAAUGGAAAAACCCUGCCAUUCGCCACUCUCCUAUACGUCGGUCAACCUAUUUCGUGGAUCGGUCCCUCAAGAGCAUGCCACGUCAUCCAGAGGAUUCAACUCGUCAGCCUUGGACCAGCCUAUUAUUUGUACACCUUACCUACGUAUCCUACCCUACCCAGCCACUGGGCCAAGCCCAAGCCGCCGCCAAGUCAUCGGCGGACGACAACGACCGCCUCGACGGCCGCCGUAGCCACUGCAUUCCUCUUCUUCCCCGCCGGCCAUCGCCUCGUAGUCUGGUGAUCCGGCCUCAUAUUCUCUCCCUCUUCCUACGCCCGACGCGUUGCGCUGCCGGCCACGUCGGGUUGCUAGGGUUGGUGUACCCACAGGCACAUAGGACUUGUUUAUGCGACACAUACAAUAUAUAUAUAUGAUUAUUCCUUGACAGGAAAUCUCUCAGCCGAAGCAUGGUGCGUUCAAGGGUGCACUUUGGGACCAACAGCCCAUCCUCGCGGGUGGGCCCCUAGCCACAUUAAUAGGACGUGUGAGGCCUACGGAGCCCUCCUGGUUACCUCCUUUUGCAAGUAGUCCGCAGUCGAAACGUACCAACGUAUGUCCGCGGCGUCAAACAAACUUGCGCCAAACACGAUUCCUGUUGAAGCCAUCACAUCAGGGUCGGAACUCGGAAGGCGUCGAUGGAGUGGCACGCAAACGUACGCAUGUUCGGCGCGCCAAACGUGGUGAGACAACGAGCCGUGGGAGGUGGGACUAGAGAAGUGCAAAUAGGUUAACAAUAUGGACCAGAGAUUCAGGUCCAGCGCGGUGGAAUUUAUGCGUGCAACGUAAAUGUUUAGCAGCCCACGAGCAACGGGAGCCGAUCGAAGUCAGAACAUGAUGAACCGGAUCUGCAGGAGGGCCGUUGCUUUGUCCGUGCGUGGCAGCCCCACGUGAACCACGUCCGUCGAUCUGGACAGGAGUGGCUUUCUACUGGAAGUUCAGUGUACAAACCGAGGUUUUGGUCAAUCAUUAGCCGCCCCCAUCGUGUACUCGUGUGGAACCAGAGGCCGGUUUCCUAGCAGCUGCUAGAAUGCGACCCGACGUGGCGGCCGGAACUGAACGCAACCGAAUAUAUCUUCCGUAUUCUUUAGUGGGCGGUCAUGUCAGGUAUCUACAUCUAGCUUCCCUGAGAUAGAUUUGACCUAGACGCCCGGCCGCUACGACUUAUGAGUUGUGUGUAGCGUUCAAUUUGGACUGCGUCCCUCGACUUUCCAGAUUAAAGCUAGCUAAACGUAUUACCUUCCGUUGCUGUAUCUAAGUUUAAUUAUCAUCAUAUGCAAAGGCACUU